rnacentral:piRNA from 1 species
UGACUCAGAGUUUGAGGUAAAGUCCAUU